rnacentral:rRNA from 1 species
UACGGAGGGUGCAAGCGUUAUCCGGAUUCACUGGGUUUAAAGGGUGUGUAGGCGGGUAUUUAAGUCAGUGGUGAAAUCUCCGGGCUCAACCCGGAAACUGCCAUUGAUACUAUUUAUCUUGGAUUCUGUUGAGGUAGGCGGAAUAUAUCAUGUAGCGGUGAAAUGCUUAGAUAUGAUAUAGAACACCGAUUGCGAAGGCAGCUUACUAAACAGAUAUUGACGCUGAGGCACGAAAGCGUGGGGAUCAAACAGG